CGGACGGUACCUCCGUUUAAGCUUGACUAGGUGCCACGGCAUGGAGGGGUACAUCCUCCAUGACAUGCUUUGUAUGCUCCACUCCAAUACCCUUUUCGAUGAUGCAUCUAGGGACAUCCUUCUUGAUUGGUGCGCAUGAAUGUUCCUUCCCUACAUGUUUAAUCACAUCUAUUGCAAAACAAGAACGAACAUCAUGAGGAUUCUUAACAUAUUCAGGAACUUUGAAUUUAAUCAAUUCAUCACCAAACUCCAUCGUUAACUCUCCCUUAGCCACAUCAAUCUUGGUUUGGGCUGUCUUCAUGAAGGGCCGCCCUAAUAGUAUCGGCAAUGGGGUAGAAUAGGGUGAAUCCUCCAUGUCAAGCACGUAAAAGUCCGCUGGAAAAAUCAAAUUGCCCACCUGCACCAACAC
rnacentral:lncRNA from 1 species